rnacentral:misc_RNA from 1 species
AUGAGACAACGAUUAUAGCAGGAGCACUAGAGCUCAGUGAGAAAACAGCUGGUGAUGCCAUGACUCCUAUAUCUGAAACUUUUGCGAUUGAUAUAAAUGCCAAACUUGACAAGGAUUUGAUGAAUUUGGUCUUGGAGAAAGGGCAUAGCAGAGUGCCAGUNUUAUUAUGAGCAACCUACAAAUAUAAUUGGACUUAUUCUGGUGAAGAAUUUAUUGACAAUUCACCCAGAAGAUGAAACACCAGUAAAGAAUGUCACCAUUCGAAGGAUUCCCAGGGUUCAAGAAAAUUUGCCAUUAUAUGAUAUACUGAAUGAGUUUCAGAAAGGUCACAGCCACAUGGCUGUUGUUGUAAGAAAGUGCAACAAGACAGAGAAGUCAACCAGUAACACGGCUGGUGUAAAAGAAGUUAGAGUUGAUGUUGAUGGUGAAAAGCCUCCUCAAGAGAAAACUUUAAAAAACAGAAGGCCGCUUCAGAAGUGGAAGAGCUUUCCCAAUGCCGGCAGCAAUUCAUUUAAGGGCUCAAGAAGCAAGAAGUGGACAAAGGACCUUGACUCGGAUAUCUUGCUUAUAAAUGGCAAUCCACUCCCUCAAAUUCCUGAAGAAGAAGAAGCUGUAGGCAUAAUAACAAUGGAAGAUGUCAUUGAAGAGCUUUUACAGGAGGAGAUCUAUGAUGAGACAGAUCAUCAUUUUGAAGACACAUGACACUGGUGUUCUUUGAGGAGCAAAAUCUAGUGUAGUAUAGACAAUCACUAAAAAUUUGUUAAAUUUAUUUCGGACAUUAGACUAGACUUGAGCUGGAGUAAAAACCAAGAAUAGAAUGAUCAGAAACUCGUUGUUUGCUAUGUAUUGCUUGUAUCAAGAAUAACUAGAAUUGUUGGUGCUUGUAUUGUUUGUAAAGGAAAUGGAUUCUUUGUUCAGCAGUGGGAAUCAAAAAGCUGCAAUAUUCAGGUAUCAGGCAGAGUCUUUAGGCAGCUGCCUGCUUAUCUUGCUGUAAGAUAGCAGCAAUGGAGAUGAUAUUGGCAUUUUAGGGUUUGAAAUUUGAAUGGAGAGAACUCAUGCAGUGG